UACGUAGGGGGCGAGCGUUGUCCGAAGUUACUGGGCGUAAAGCGCGCGUAGGCGGUUGCUUAAGUUAGAUGUGAAAUCCUGUGGCUCAACCACAGAACUGCAUCUAAAACUGGGCAGCUUGAGGACGGAAGAGGGCAGUGGAAUUCCUGGUGUAGCGGUGAAAUGCGUAGAUAUCAGGAGGAACACCCGUGGCGAAGGCGGCUGCCUGGUCCGUAUCUGACGCUGAGGUGCGAAAGCUAGGGGAGCGAACGGG
rnacentral:rRNA from 1 species